rnacentral:rRNA from 1 species
GCUGCAUGGCUGUCGUCAGCUCGUGUUGUGAAAUGUUGGGUUAAGUCCCGCAACGAGCGCAACCCUUAUCCUUUGUUGCCAGCGGUCCGGCCGGGAACUCAAAGGAGACUGCCAGUGAUAAACUGGAGGAAGGUGGGGAUGACGUCAAGUCAUCAUGGCCCUUACGACCAGGGCUACACACGUGCUACAAUGGCGCAUACAAAGAGAAGCGACCUCGCGAGAGCAAGCGGACCUCAUAAAGUGCGUCGUAGUCCGGAUUGGAGUCUGCAACUCGACUCCAUGAAGUCGGAAUCGCUAGUAAUCGUGGAUCAGAAUGCCACGGUGAAUACGUUCCCGGGCCUUGUACACACCGCCCGUCACACCAUGGGAGUGGGUUGCAAA